GAACGGUGAACACGGAGCUUGCUCUGUGGGAUCAGUGGCGAACGGGUGAGUAACACGUGAGCAACCUGCCCCUGACUCUGGGAUAAGCGCUGGAAACGGCGUCUAAUACUGGAUAUGUGACGUGACCGCAUGGUCUGCGUCUGGAAAGAAUUUCGGUUGGGGAUGGGCUCGCGGCCUAUCAGCUUGUUGGUGAGGUAAUGGCUCACCAAGGCGUCGACGGGUAGCCGGCCUGAGAGGGUGACCGGCCACACUGGGACUGAGACACGGCCCAGACUCCUACGGGAGGCAGCAGUGGGGAAUAUUGCACAAUGGGCGCAAGCCUGAUGCAGCAACGCCGCGUGAGGGACGACGGCCUUCGGGUUGUAAACCUCUUUUAGCAGGGAAGAAGCGAAAGUGACGGUACCUGCAGAAAAAGCGCCGGCUAACUACGUGCCAGCAGCCGCGGUAAUACGUAGGGCGCAAGCGUUAUCCGGAAUUAUUGGGCGUAAAGAGCUCGUAGGCGGUUUGUCGCGUCUGCUGUGAAAUCCGGAGGCUCAACCUCCGGCCUGCAGUGGGUACGGGCAGACUAGAGUGCGGUAGGGGAGAUUGGAAUUCCUGGUGUAGCGGUGGAAUGCGCAGAUAUCAGGAGGAACACCGAUGGCGAAGGCAGAUCUCUGGGCCGUAACUGACGCUGAG
rnacentral:rRNA from 1 species